AUACUUACCUGGCAAGGGAGAUACCAUGAUCACGAAGGUGGUUUUCCCAGGGCGAGGCUUAUCCAUUGCACUCCGGAUGUGCUGACCCCUGCGAUUUCCCCAAAUGCGGGAAACUCGACUGCAUAAUUUGUGGUAGUGGGGGACUGCGUUCGCUCUCUCCCCUG
rnacentral:snRNA from 1 species